AGCGAACGCUGGCGGCAGGCCUAACACAUGCAAGUCGAGCGCCCCGCAAGGGGAGCGGCAGACGGGAGAGUAACACGUGGGAACGUACCCUUCAGUUCGGAACAACCAAGGGAAACUUUGGCUAAUACCGAAUACGUCCGUAAGGAGAAAGAUUUAUCGCUGAAGGAUCGGCCCGCGUCUGAUUAGCUAGUUGGUGGGGUAAUGGCCCACCAAGGCGACGAUCAGUAGCUGGUCUGAGAGAAUGAUCAGCCUCACUGGGACUGAGACACGGCCCAGACUCCUACGGGAGGCAGCAGUGGGGAAUAUUGGACAAUGGGCGCAAGCCUGAUCCAGCCAUGCCGCGUGGAUGAUGAAGGCCUUAGGGUUGUAAAGAUCUUUCAGUGGGGAAGAUAAUGACUGUACCCACAGAAGAAGCCCCGGCUAACUCCGUGCCAGCCGCCGCCGUAACAC
rnacentral:rRNA from 1 species